AGGACGAACGCUGGCGGCGCGCUUAACACAUGCAAGUCGUACGGAGCCACCCUUUCGGGGGUGGUUCAGUGGCGAACGGGUGCGUAACACGUGAGCAACCUGCCUGCCGGUGGGGGAUAACCCGGGGAAACCCGGGCUAAUACCGCAUUCGCUCUAUCUCUCGAUUGGGGGAAUGAGGAAAGGUGCUGCAAGGCACUGCCGGCAGAGGGGCUCGCGGCGUAUCAGCUAGCUGGUGGGGUAACGGCCUACCAGGGCAACGACGCGUAGCCGAUCUGAGAGGAUGAUCGGCCACAUUGGGACUGAGAUACGGCCCAGACUCCUACGGGAGGCAGCAGGUAGGGAAUCUUGCGCAAGUGGGGCGAAAAGCCUGACGCGACGCGACGCCGGCGGUGGGGAGGAAGUCGUUUUCGGAGUAGUAAACCUUCGU
rnacentral:rRNA from 1 species